rnacentral:lncRNA from 1 species
GCCCGUAACAAUCUGAGCGCAUUGCAUCUGGCGAUGGUGGCCUGCUCGAUGGAAGGAAAAGAAGAGGAAAAUAGGGCAAGCCCUAUCCUCCAAAAAUCCAGUGAAUCAUCGGUCAAUGCUAGACGAUAAGCAAGGCUUGGGAUUGAAGAAGGGAAGGAGAGAGACAUUAGAGAUCCUUACCUCAUCUCCAACGAGAAAUCGAUGGCGAUUCAUCGAGGAACACUUGACAAAAAUUGGUAGAAAUCGCACAGCUUUGCCGGCGAUUGGCUGUGGAUUUGAGC